UCUGACCUCAAAUCAGGUAGGACUACCCGC
rnacentral:rRNA from 1 species